AUGCUAAUUUAUAAAAUCUGGAUCGCUAGGAAUCUGCAGCUAUAUCAGAACAAGACUUCAGCGCCGCAAAAGCUUUCUGAGGAAGCUCUUGAAGGAGUGCUGCAAUUUAAUAGAUGGAAUCCCGAACUACGUGUCAGUAGGAAGAUUCGGGUGCAGUCGGUCUUUAAGUACUCUCAUCAAGAUGUGGUUUUUGUUCAGGUUGAUGCAAGAGUCUUUAGCGAGGGAUUCAUGUCUUUUGGUUGUUGUUUUAAGAAGUCCAAUUUGGAAUUGUUUUAA